CUCAAAUGAGUGCUUCUCCCCUGGAAAACCUUUAUAUUUGUUAGGCUGGAGACUCAAAACAUGUCCUUAAAGUUCCAGUGUCUUGUGUCACAGAAAUGCAGUUCUCUUUUGGUAUCAUAACUGAACCAGGCUCCUUGUUUCUAUACUCAACAGUUUCCUUUUUUGGCUGGUUAGAGAGAGAAGGAGGAGGCGCCAGCCCAGAGAGCAUCUGUAAUAGAGUAAAAUUAUUUAUUUGAUAGUCACAUCUUCAAUUGAGAAGCAUUACAAGGACAAGAAGAAUUCGGUAAUCCUAUGUUAUUAGAUGGAUAUAUCCAGAUAUGACAACUGAAACCAAAUGACUUUAAACUACUCUUGCCAACACCCACAUGGAGGUGUGUGUUAUUCUUACCUACUUCUUGCUCUAUGCAAAUCCCUACAUUACCAGCAGCAGGCAGCAUAAAAUGAAAACCAGGGGCCAGAAUCUAGAGAAACAAGGAUAGUAUGGAAGCCUUCCUUGGGAAAGACCUCAAAAGUAGUAGAUAAGUGUUGUAAUUCUAGCACUCUGGGAGGCUGAGGCAGGAAGAGCUACAGUUUGAGUCCAGCCCUGGGAACUUAGUGACUUAAUGUGUUCAGCCCCC
rnacentral:lncRNA from 1 species